CGCCCGGCUAAUUUUUUAUAUUUUUAGUAGAGAUGGGGUUUCACCGUGUUAGCCAGGAUGGUCUCGAUCUCCUGACCUCGUGAUCUGCCCACCUCAGCCUCGCAAAGUGCUGGGAUUACGGGCAUGAGCCACCGCACCCAGCCUUAAUACAAAUUUAAUUUUAUCUUAUUAUUGUUGAGACUCCCUAGAACUAAUAGGACAGGACAGACUCAUCGUUCAGUUUACCUACUGACCUUUCAGGGCCUGGACUGGCAGCCCAGCAACAGGAUUUAUAAUUGAAAAUACACCUCCAGGUGGCCAGGUGCGGUGGCUCACACCUGUAAUCCCAGCACUUUGGGAGGCCGAGGCGGGCGGAUCACGAGGUCCGGAGAUUGAGACAUGGUGAAACCCCGUGUCUACUAAAAAUACAAAAGUUAGCCAGGUGUGGUGAUGGGCGCCUGUAGUCCCAGCUACUCGGGAGGCUGAGGCAGGAGAAUGGAGUGAACCCGGGAGGCAGAGGUUGCAGUGAGCCGAGAUCGCACCACUGCACUCCGGCCUGGGUCACAAAGCGAGACUCUGUCUCAAAAAAAAGAAAAAAGAAAAUAUACCUCCAGGUAAGGCACACUUCUUAGUUCCUACAAAAUGAAAUGUAUUUAGAGGCUGCAGGGUACCUGGAAAAUGCAACAGCUAUUGGCCUGUUCUGAGGCGACUGGACAUCGUAUCUGACAUCAAAGCUUCCAGAGGUGGUCUGGACUAAGUCACCUGUUGCCACCCACAAAGCAUGACCAAAUAAGCUUACUUUCAGGCAAGUCCAUGGAAACUAAAACGCAAGAUUCAGAUCUCCUCCACUAAGGGUUAUGGGGAGGAUGUUCUGACUGGCAGUUGUGUGUCCUGAUUGUGUUGAAUUGAAUAGCAUAUUAACCACUUGGUAGAGUCUUUUUUUUUUUUUUUUUUUUGGAGUCAGAGUUUGGCUCUGUUGCCCAGGCUGGAGUGCAGUGGCAGGAUGUUGGCUCACCACAGCCUCCACCUCCUGGGUUCAAGUGAACCUCCCAUCUCAGCCUCCCAAGUAGCUGGAACUACAGGCAUGUGCCACCAUGCCUGGCUAAUUUUUAUGUUUUUAGUAGAGACAGGGUUUCGCCAUGUUGGCCAGGCUGGUCUCAAACUCCUGGCCUCAAGUGAUCUGCCUGCCUCCUCAGCCUCCCAAAAUGCUGAGAUUACAGGCGUGAGUCACUGCGCCUGGCCCGCUUCAUAGAGUCUUAGGAAAAGGGGUAGCAGAACCUGGACGUGAGGCUCCACAGGACUUGCUAGUUGUACUUAGCUACAUCCUAGUCCCUUCUCUGCCCCCACAAAGCCCAGCAGAGGCGACCAUGGCCAUCUUGGAGCUAGUUCUCAAUGUGGGAAAAAAUCAGUUCUAUGUCAAAAAUCUUCAGAAAAUGAGAGACGAGACCUGAGUCUUCAGGCUUACUUUCAUGUACGGAGAUGACAUGCUUGCACUCAACUUAUCGGUGAGUGGGAGGGCAAGUCUCUGCGUGGGAAGAACAAAUGGCCCCUCCCCAAGCAGGCUGAGCCAUCGUCGCCGGGCCUUGAACCCCUAGCUGAACACACACGCAGGCAGAAACUGAUUUC
rnacentral:lncRNA from 1 species